rnacentral:rRNA from 1 species
UACAGAGGUCCCAAGCGUUGUUCGGAUUCACUGGGCGUAAAGGGUGCGUAGGUGGUGAGGUAAGUCGGAUGUGAAAUCUCCGAGCUCAACUCGGAAAUGGCAUUGGAAACUACCUUGCUCGAGGGUUGGAGGGGGGACUGGAAUGCUUGGUGUAGCAGUGAAAUGCGUAGAUAUCAAGUGGAACACCAGUGGCGAAGGCGAAUCCCUGGAAAAUACCUGACACUGAGGCACGAAAGCUAGGGGAGCAAACAGG